rnacentral:rRNA from 1 species
UGGGGAAUAUUGCACAAUGGGCGCAAGCCUGAUGCAGCAACGCCGCGUGAACGAUGAAGGUCUUCGGAUCGAAAAGUUCUGUUGCAGGGGAAGAUAAUGACGGUACACUGUGAGGAAGCCCCGGCUAACUACGCGCCAGCAGCCGCGGUAAUACGUAGGGGGCUAGCGUUAUCCGGAUUUACUGGGCGUAAAGGGUGCGUAGGUGGUCUUUCAAGUCGGUGGUUAAAGGCUACGGCUCAACCGUAGUUAGCCUCCGAAACUGGAAGACUUGAGUGCAGGAGAGGAAAGUGGAAUUCCCAGUGUAGCGGUGAAAUGCGUAGAUAUUGGGAGGAACACCAGUAGCGAAGGCGGCUUUCUGGACUGCAACUGACACUGAGGCACGAAAGCGUGGGUAGCAAACAGG